CCCCGGUCACGGAGGAGACAUGGCCGGCGAUCACUUCCGAUCGCCGAUGCCGGAAAAUCCAAGGAAAAAGGCCCAAAAACAGGGCGUCUUUCCCGACCGAAAGAUCGACGAUACUCGUCGCCGGCAGCCGUGCACAGGAGCAUGGGAGGAAGAAGAAGGAGACUCACCUCAGCCUCCGAAGACCUCGCCGGCGAGCAAUUA
rnacentral:lncRNA from 1 species